GACGAACGCUGGCGGCGUGCUUAACACAUGCAAGUCGAACGGAAAGGCCCUGCUUUUGUGGGGUGCUCGAGUGGCGAACGGGUGAGUAACACGUGAGUAACCUGCCCUUGACUUUGGGAUAACUUCAGGAAACUGGGGCUAAUACCGGAUAGGAGCUCCUGCUGCAUGGUGGGGGUUGGAAAGUUUCGGCGGUUGGGGAUGGACUCGCGGCUUAUCAGCUUGUUGGUGGGGUAGUGGCUUACCAAGGCUUUGACGGGUAGCCGGCCUGAGAGGGUGACCGGCCACAUUGGGACUGAGAGACCGCCCAGACUCGUACGGGGGGCAGAAGUGGGGAAUGAUGCACAAUGGGCGGAGGCCUGAUGGAUCAACGCCGCGUGCGGGAUGACGGCGUUCGGGUUGUAAACCGCUUUCGCCUGUGACGAAGCGUGAGUGACGGUAAUGGGUAAAGAAGCAACGGCUAACUACGU
rnacentral:rRNA from 1 species